AUUUAAGUAGUUUAAUUAAAAUUAUAAAUUGUGGUUUUAUAGAUGCUUUAGCCUUAGAUA
rnacentral:tRNA from 1 species